GCAUAUGCAGUAUUUCAUCCAAGAAUAAUAGAAUAUCCUGAGUUGGAGGGACCCAUGAGGAUCAUCUAAGUCCAACUCCUGGCCCUGCACAGGACACCUCAAGAGUCACACCAUGUACCUGGCAGCAUUGUCCAACCACUUAUU